CCUACGGGAGGCAGCAGUGAGGAAUAUUGGUCAAUGGGCGUGAGCCUGAACCAGCCAAGUCGCGUGAGGGAUGAAGGUCCUAUGGAUUGUAAACCUCUUUUAUAGGGGAAUAAAGGGUGGGACGUGUCCUAUUUCGUAUGUACCUGAUGAAUAAGGAUCGGCUAACUCCGUGCCAGCAGCCGCGGUAAUACGGAGGAUCCGAGCGUUAUCCGGAUUUAUUGGGUUUAAAGGGUGCGUAGGCGGCUGUUUAAGUCAGCGGUAAAAUUCUGGGGCUCAACCUCGUAUUGCCGUUGAAACUGGGGGGCUUGAGUGUGUGAGAGGCAUGCGGAAUGCGUGGUGUAGCGGUGAAAUGCUUAGAUAUCACGCAGAACCCCGAUUGCGAAGGCAGCCUGCC
rnacentral:rRNA from 1 species